rnacentral:ncRNA from 2 species
AGUUCCCUAGUUGAUUCUGCCAGUAGUAGUUAUAUGCUUGUCUCAAAGAUUAAGCCAUGCAUGCAAACACGCUUUCAUUAAUCAAGAACGAAAGUUAGAGGUUCGAAGGCGAUCAGAUACCGCCCUAGUUCUAACCAUAAACGAUGCCAGCUAGCGAUCCGUCGACGUUCCUCCGACGACUCGUCCAGCAGCUUGCGGGAAACCAAAAUUUUUGAGC